UCCUUCCUGGUGUAGUGGUUAUUGCCUUCGUCUUCUGCUGGCGAAAGGUUGGGAGGUCUGGUGUUCAAAUCCCUUGGGUGGAU